AUGGCGCAUGUCCACAAAUACCUUACCACUGCGCAUGAAGCUCCAGCAAAGAGGCAAGAAGGGAGAAUACAAGAGCAACAACAAAAAGAAAGAUGGUCCAGACCUCCACCGAAGAUCUUGAAAAUCAACACUGACGGCGCCUACCUGAAGGAAUCAAAUUCUGGAGGUUGGGGCUUUGUUAUCAGGAACGAUUGUGGUAUGGUAAUAGCAGCUGGUGCAGGAAAUUUGGGGCAAGUUUCGAAUGCGCUCCAUUCGGAGGCAAUGGCAAUGUUGCAUGCCAUAAACGCAGCUAUUCAGAUGGGUUGUCACUGUGUCAUAAUGGAGACUGACUCUGUGCAAUUUCAGUCAGCAGUGAACAAUGAAGACUAUGAUCUCUCUACAUUAGGAGCUAUUUUCAAAGAUAUUAAAUUUAAGCUGAGAGUAAGCUUCAAUCAUGUAACUGUUGUGUCUUGUCCUAGAACUUGUAAUGUAGUGGCACACUGUUUAGCAGCGUAUGGUACUAAACUAGGAGCUGGCAUAAGUGAGAUUUGGCUUGAUGAAUGUCCAGACUUUGUAAAUGACGCUGUUGCCGGCGACUUGUCCAGCAUUGGUUCUUAA
rnacentral:rRNA from 1 species